AUACGUAGGGCGCGAGCGUUGUCCGGAAUUAUUGGGCGUAAAGAGCUCGUAGGCGGUUUGUCGCGUCUGCUGUGAAAUCCUCAGGCUCAACUUGGGGCGUGCAGUGGGUACGGGCAGACUAGAGUGCGGUAGGGGAGACUGGAAUUCCUGGUGUAGCGGUGGAAUGCGCAGAUAUCAGGAGGAACACCGAUGGCGAAGGCAGGUCUCUGGGCCGUUACUGACGCUGAGGAGCGAAAGCAUGGGGAGC
rnacentral:rRNA from 1 species